GUUUCAGAAAUUGCUAUAAUGGCAAAUUUUGAUGUCACCAAUCUCUAUACUAAUAUACCUCACACUUUAGGCCUAGAAGCAAUCAAACACUGGGUAG